rnacentral:lncRNA from 12 species
GGACAAAUUGCAAUUGGGAUAACCGGGAAAAUCUUCCCGCUUCCUUCUGUAGGUGAAAGAAUGAGAGGCAGAGGGAAUGAGGGAAGGACAAAUUCCAACUGGGAGAGCCGAGAAAAAUUUCCUGCUGCCCUCAGGAAGCCAAGGAAAAACGAGGAGCAGAGGGAAUGAGAAAAUCACAAAUUCCAGCUGGGAUAACCGGGAAAAUCUUCUUCCCCGUGCUCUCGGCAAGGCGAGGAAAAGUGAGGAGCAAAGGGUGGGAAGGACAAAUUCCAGCUGAGACAACCAGGAAAAAUUUCCCGCUGCCCCCGGCUCCCUGUCCGGCCGCUGGCUGGAGGCAGAGCCGGGAGCAUUCCCAGCGCAUGGAAAACAUCCUCGGGAGGAGGAGGAGGAGGAAAAGGAGGAGGAAAAGGAGGAGGAGGAGGUCGGAGCCCUGCGUGCCCUGGCAAGGGUGGCAUCCUCGGCUGGCGCAGCGGCUUGGGGACGUGCCAGCAGCUUGGGGACACGGGAUAAAAAUAAAGGAGAAGCGAGGCUGGCCAGGGCUCCCACAGAAGCCGCUUUGUGGCCUCGUCCCCCACCCACGUGGCACAGCCAGGUCCUGGCAGCUGCCAUGGGAACAGCCCGAGCCCGGAGAGGGAAACUGA